CUUUCUUUGCUGGCGACCGGCGCACGGGUGAGUAACACGUAUCCAACCUGCCGAUGACUCGGGGAUAGCCUUUCGAAAGAAAGAUUAAUACCCUAUGGCAUAGUUCUUCCGCAUGGUAGAACUAUUAAAGGAUUUCGGUCAUCGAUGGGGAUGCGUUCCAUUAGGUUGUUGGCGGGGUAACGGCCCAUCAAGCCUUCGAUGGAUAGGGGUUCUGAGAGGAAGGUCCCCCACAUUGGAACUGAGACACGGUCCAAACUCCUACGGGAGGAGCAUG
rnacentral:rRNA from 1 species